AUCUAUCUCUGAUUAAAACAAAAUAAUAUUUCACUGCUAAUCUAUUAAUGACUUUGGCCUUUAGCUGCUGUCCAGUAGCUUUUGAUUCUCCUGUUGCAAUCUGACCAGCAAGUGAUUAUGCAGGUUCUCUCCAGCUGAUCCAUGGAUUUCUUGAAACUGAUACUCUGUGGGAAGCAGUAGUGCUGAACAGAGCAAGUUGGAUGCCUUGCCUACAGCCCCUUUUUUCUAUAAAGUCCUCCCCAACCUGAAGCUUAAACAUGCUUGGAGAUGUCUGCAGGAAUACUUGAGUGUUAUUCUGACAGCGUAAAAAAAACAAGGAAAGACUUCUGUGGACACUCAUAACUGCUCCAUUGAACCAAGGCAGCUGCUGAAGACAGCACU
rnacentral:lncRNA from 1 species